UUUUUUUUUUUUCCCCAAACGAAAUGGAGUGGACGUAAAGCCAAGAAAAUAAAUUCCCUUGAGGAGGAAUCAGACACAUAGUUGCCACAUAAAAACCAAAGCUGAGGAGCUAAGCUUCCCGGAGAGCAUCUGCCGGGGCGCGGCAGAGCAGGCAGCGGCGGUGCCCGGGGAGCCGCGCAGGGCCAGCCCGGGGCGGACACGCAGCGCGGGGCUCCGCCGGGAGCGCUCCCGGGGCCCGGCCCCGCCACCGCUUCUGCACGGGAGUCGCUUCAGCUGCCGCAGAGCUACUUAUUCACCCGCUUUCAGUUUUUGUGGGGCGGUGCGACAUCCGGCCCGCAAUUGUAAAUCCUACGUUUAAAAAUUUUGGUGUAAAUCCAUCAAAGCCAUCAUAAUAAAAUGGAAGGAAUUCCCCUUCUCACCUAACUAGGUAACUUCAUUUUUGAUGUGUUUUUAUUUGUAUUUGAUUUUACUGGAAAAGGUUAAAGGCGCAAAUAUUUUUUAAUUAUUGAGUUUUACAAUUUCUUUAAUAAAUUAAUGAUUGCAACCACCUAAGUGCUGAUAAAAGUCAUGCAGUUCAGGGGUUGCCUGUGGUUUCAUGCCUGCUAACAUUUUCCAGUGAUUUCUACCCUGAGGAAGGGUGCUUUAUAGAGACCAAUGGUUUUGUCAUUCUCUGAAAUUGUGGAUAAAGCUUGACAAAGGAAACAGAGAAGUCACCGCCUAUAGUGAGCUCACAUCUUCCUACUUUUCUACACUUAAUUUCUCGCUGAUUUGUUCAGUCUGUAAGUUCUGGAGAAAACGGAAUGUUCUAACAGCUCUGUAUUUAGCAAGUAUGAGAAUUAUUCUGUUACCAUAUGGAUCAGUGACCAAUGUCUGGUGUUCAUGAUUUUCUAGUUGUGUUGCUCCACAACAUGCAAGUUUAUGACUUAGUAUAUGAUGUCCAUGAGCUGGAAAGACUCAAAACAUAUGGCGGAUCAGAUGUUAGGCUUGGGGAAAAUCAAAAAUUAAACUGUCUCAGAGCAGUUGAGAGCCUGCUUUGCUAUAUAUUUUAUGUGAUUUGUGUGUGUGUUGAGGGAGAUGUCACCUAGGGAAAGGAAUCGAAGGGAAAAAAUAGCUUUAAAAAAUGAACUGUUUGUAUUAUGGCUUUAAACAUUAAAGUCUGGUCAGCUAAAAGCAGAUGUUGUGAACUAAGAUGGAAACUUGCCUGAGGCCAGAAUCAAAGAAGGCAUUCACUAAUAGUAAGAAGGAAAAAUGCUUUCUGUUUUCAGAAUUUAUUGUAAGCAAAAAAAUGAAUCCUUACUGUAUGCUUAUGCACAUUUUCCCACUUUUAUUCAGGUUACUGAAUAAGAUUGAUGGCUUCAGAAUCUAAUUUCAGACAAUGGGUUCAUUAUCAAUCCUGAUUGUAUUCUAAGCUCCUUAUAAAAUCUUUUGUUAUUCCGUGCUGUCAUAUUGGAAGUAGGAAUGAAGUGUUUCUCACCUUUGGCUGUCUGCCCGGUAAUUAGAUGGGGAGGUGGGUUAAAGCAUCUAAAUGUGUGAUAAGACUUGGAAUAUUGUAAUAUGACACAAUUCUGAUGCAAGUCUUUUAAAAGGAAGAAUAAAUAUGGGAAAGACAUGAAUAUACACUGGAUAGUAAAGAUAAACAUAAUAUUUCUUGCAUUGACCUAGGUCUCAAUCGACCUGGGCUUGCACAACUUGAGUGAACACACAUUAAGUAAAUAUACACAAAGUCUAAGAAUUUGGAAUGGAAAGUUAAAAAUUAAUAUUUUCAAGAAAGAAAAACAAAAAAAAAAGUUGAUUAAAUAAAAAUUAUUUAUGUUAAAAUCAAUAAAUAUUUGAGAAAAUAUUCUCCUUUUCAUCUAUUUAUGUAUGAGGAAUUGCAUAUUUACAGUAACUGCCUCUAUAGUAUUUGUCAUGAAGCUUUGAACCAGCUUAAAAUUUAGACUUUGACAGUUGUGCCAUUUAUUGAAAAUUUGCUGGUUCAAAAGCUAUGCGCUAAUGGCAAGUCCAGAAUUUUAAGUUACAGUAUUUCAGGGAGGAGCAGGGUAAGCGACCUCAUUCUACAUUGUACAAAUACUUUGUCAUAUUGUUUCAAUUCAUGUAAUUUGAACAAUUUUGUUGCACCACUCGAACAGCAAGGGAAAAAAAAAAAACCUUAUUAUUUUCAAAAAUCCAUUAAAAGGAUCAAUAUUUUUGCUUAUUUCUUCCUGCAGGAAUAAUUUUUUUAACUGACUUCCUGACUCGGGAAUCAGCUGCCUUUUCUAAUUUACAUCAGGGUUGAAGUGAGUAAGGACUUCUCAAGAGACUAAUUCCCAAUAAAUCCAUGUUUGGACAAGCUCUAAAUCCAGCAGCAGUGGAGUGUCUGCACAUUCCUCUUUGGCAGUUUUUAUGGGGAAUUUAGGCCAGUUCUUUCCCAUUAGAGGAUCUCCGG